GGGUCUAAUCGGAGCUGUAGCCACCCGCCUACACCACAGCCACAGCAACAUAGGAUCUGAACCGAGUCUGUGACCUACACCACAGCUCACGGCAAUGCCGGAUCCUUAACCCACUGAGCAAGGCCAGGAAUCGAACCCACAACCUCAUGGUUCUUAGAUUCAUUAACCCCUGAGCCAUGACGGGAACUCCCUAUGGAGGUUCCCAGGACAGGGGUUGAAUUAGAGCCACAGUUUCUGGCCUACACCACAGCCCCAGCAAUGCAGGAUCCGAGCCUCAUCUGUGACCUGUGUCACAGCUCACCACAAUGCUAGAUCCUUAACUCACUGAGCGAGACCAGGGAUCGAACCCAAAACCUCAUGGUUCUUAGUCAGAAUCGUUUCCGCUGUGCCAUGACGGGAACUCCUUGUGUACAUUUUAAUCACAAGCUCCUAAUUUAUUCCUCUCCUGCCUCUUUCCCCUUUGGUAACGAUAAGCUUUUUUUUCUAUGUCUGUCAGUCUAUUUCUGUUUGGUAAAUAAGUUCAUUUAUAUCAUUCAUUUGUAGAUUCCACAUAAGGCAAUUAUAAAAUUUUUAAGCUUGGCCUUAACCUUAGAAAGUGUUGCAUCACUGAGCUUGUGAUUAUUUUUGUUUUCCUGUGCUGUGUUUUUGAAGCUCACCCUCUGUAAAUUGAAAUUCAGGUCAUAUGUCACUUCCUGGAUGAGUAAUAUGCUUUGUGGUCCCCUAAAGUUUUUCUGUGUCAAUACAGCACAAAUUGCUUUGAUCAACUUAAUGAAAAGAAUGUUCAAUAAAAUUUGGGUGGUUGUCUAGAUAAAGCUCUUCAGUGUAAUAUAGAUUAAAACAUUGAUAGCUCAUGUUUUUCUUUCUUUUAGCAACCUGCAGAGGAAUCACUCACAACUUGAUCAAUUACUUGAUAGUCACUUGUUGAUGCACAGUAUAAACAAAGAACCCAGGACACAUGGUUCAAGUGCUUCCUAAAAACCUACAGGUCUUUAAAGACGGUAAAAUAGCGCAUUAAAUUGUUUUCUAAAAAUGUGAACAAGAAAAUAUGACUCUUACAGAGGAGACAAUUUUAAUUUCUGACGGUCACAUGAGGCGGGACGCCCUGGAAUAAAUUCACAUUUGGAGGGAAGGUAACAUCAUUUGGAAAUCAUAGACUCCUAAAACGAAGCGAAUUUGUGGAAAACAAGCACUAUGCGUUUCCUUGGAAGGCCUUUGGGAAAAUACGUCUCCAAGUUGUGUCCCAUGCAGCCCGUGUUUCAGCGAUAACACAGAAACCACGUGUCCUUUUGCUUUGCCUUCUUUUUAGUGAUGCCUGAUGUGGGUUGCUCAUUGAAUCUGACAAUCAGAUUGUCUUUAAAAGCAGCUGAUCUCAUUCCCCGUGGGCGCUGAGUUCCUUCUUCCCAAAGUCCUGGAUGAGUCCAGAAGCUCUGGCACCGCCCCAUGACUCAGCUCCCUGCCUGCUGGCCCCCCGAGACGGCCCUCGGACCCCUGCCGCCAUCAGGCAGCAGAACCGCCUUCUUGCUAUCAGAGGUCUCCAAGAAUGCGGAUGCAGCAGUCCGCCCGCGCUCUUAAGCCUCUUGUGGUUAACGUGAAUAGCAUUCUUUCAAUUGCUGCCGAUAUGAAAUGUCCUACGUCUUCGAGUCAACAAUGAAAAACUCAGGGUCAUAUUUUUGCAGGAGAUGCUGAAAAUGUUUGAGUUGGGGUGGGGGGGGGUGAAACAUUUUAAACUUGAGUGGUGGGUCUAUUUAUUCUGUGUCUAAAUGUUGCAAAUUAAGUUGAGAUUUUUCAGUCGCUCAGGUUUUAUUAGAAGAGAGAAAGUCAAGACAGACGGUACGCUCACCAAAUAAAAUAUUUUUUAUUACAGUGCUGAAUACUUAACAAAUAGUUAUUUUUGUCCAUGGAAAAUGGGCUGCAUUAACUUCUCUGCCCCCUUAGCCCCCUCAUCUGGAAAGUGGGGAUAAUAGCAGAUAAUGCAGAGAGUCAGAAAACCCCUCUGUCAGUUUUUAUGUCUUAAAGCAGAGAGAAUAAUACUACCUGUGCAGCUGGGUCCCACCUUAUUUUUUGUUAGGAAUUUAGAAGCGGAGCCAAAAGGAAGUCGUGCUAACAUUCCCCGUAGAAUUUGUUUUCUCAGAAACCUUUUUUUGCCUUUUCUUUAGGAAAUUCUAAAUCUCUACCCCCAUCCCCCACCGGUUCCCCAGAGCACCUCCCCCAAACCUCCAGUCGGAGUCCGAACCCCGUGGCCCAGCCUCUCACUUUCACUCCCUUCUUCAUGCUACUCUUUGCCCCGAAGGACCCUCUUCCUCAGUCAAAUCGACUGCCUCUGCUCCUUCCAAGGUCAAUUCUGGGGCCCCUGGGAGCCCCGCCAGCUGUAAAUGCUGCGUCUCCUCCUUCACCGUCGACCCCAAGGACCCUCCCGACAUUCUGAUUCCACCACUGCCACCACUGCCACGGCGCUCGUCAUGCUAAACUGUGGCUGCUGAUGGACAAGCCGGGCUCAACCACAUUGUUUUUCUGGCCGUGUCCGUGGCAGGGAGACGUUCCCAGGCCAGGGAUCGAACCCACACCACUGCAGUGACAAAGAUGGAUCCUUAACCCACUGCGCCACCAGGGAACUCCUCAACUACAUUUAUAGUACUAUAUUUCUCUUUUUGGUCUUUUUCUGGGGCCACACCCUUGGCAUAUGGAGGUUCCCAGGCUAGGGGUCUAGCAGGAGCUGCAGCUGCCGGCCUACACUACAGCCACAACGAUUCAGGAUUUGAGCCGCAUCUGCGACCUACACCACAGCUCACGGCAACAUCGGAUUCUUACAAUAUAUACCUUGAUUAUGUAGGUUUCGGCAGAGUGCCUGACACAGAGUAAGUGCUCAUUAAAUGCCCACUGAAUCAAUUAACUUAAUAAAAAGUCAAAUAUUUUGUGCAUCGUCUAGUUACCUGCCGCUUC
rnacentral:lncRNA from 1 species